rnacentral:rRNA from 1 species
GACGAACGCUGGCGGCGUGCUUAACACAUGCAAGUCGAACGCUGAAGACCUGGCUUUUGUUGGGUUGGAUGAGUGGCGAACGGGUGAGUAACACGUGAGUAACCUGCCCUCUUCUUUGGGAUAACGCCCGGAAACGGGUGCUAAUACUGGAUAUUCACUGAUCUUCGCAUGGGGGUUGGUGGAAAGGUUUGUUCUGGUGGGGGAUGGGCUCGCGGCCUAUCAGCUUGUUGGUGGGGUGAUGGCCUACCAAGGCUUUGACGGGUAGCCGGCCUGAGAGGGUGACCGGUCACAUUGGGACUGAGAUAAGGCCCAGACUCCUACGGGAGGCGGAAGUGGGGAAUAUUGCACAAUGGGCGAAAGCCUGAUGCAGCGACGCCGCGUGAGGGAUGGAGGCCUUCGGGUUGUAAACCUCUUUCGCUCAUGGUCAAGCCGCAACUGUGGGUUGUGGUGAGGGUAGUGGGUAAAGAAGCGCCGGCUAACUACGUG